GACGUAGGGCGCGAGCGUUGUCCGGAUUUAUUGGGCGUAAAGAGCUCGUAGGCGGCUUGUCGCGUCGACUGUGAAAACCCGCGGCUCAACCGCGGCCUGCAGUCGAUACGGGCAGGCUAGAGUUCGGUAGGGGAGACUGGAAUUCCUGGUGUAGCGGUGAAAUGCGCAGAUAUCAGGAGGAACACCGGUGGCGAAGGCGGUUCUCUGGGCAUUACCUGACGCUGAGGAGCGAAAGUGUGGGGAGCGAACAGG
rnacentral:rRNA from 1 species